AAGAAACAACCACAUCUGUACCACCAACUACAACUGGCUCUACCAGUGCUUCGACAAAAGAACAAACAACGACAACAACAGGGAUAACCACCACACCGGGUUCAACUGCCAGUUCCACAACGG